GAUUGGAGCGGCCUAUAUCAGAUUAGCUAGUUGGUGAGGUAAAGGCUCACCAAGGCGACUAUCCGUAGCUGGUCUGAGAGGACGACCCGCCACACUGGAACUGAGACACGGUCCAGACUCCUACGGGAGGCAGCAGUGGGGAAUUUUGGACAAUGGGGGCAACCCUGAUCCAGCCAUUCCGCGUGAGUGAAGAAGGCCUUCGGGUUGUAAAGCUCUU
rnacentral:rRNA from 1 species